rnacentral:rRNA from 1 species
CCUACGGGUGGCAGCAGUGAGGAAUAUUUCACAAUGGGCGAAAGCCUGAAGCAGCAAAGCCGCGUGCAGGAUGACGGCCCUACGGGUUGUAACCUCUUUUAUAAACGGGAUAUAUGGUGGUACCUUAUGCAUAAUGAUCGUCUAUCUACGUGGCAGCAGCGGCGGUCAUGCGUGGGCGCCGGGCGUUAUCCGGAGUAACUGGGGGUAAACAGGUGCUUAGGUGGCAUAAUAAGUAGCGAGUGGAAUGUGGAGGCUUAACCAUUCAGACUACUAUCUAUACUGUUAAGCUCGAGAACGUUGGGGGUAGGCGGAAUUUGUAGUGUAGGAGUGAAAUGCGUAGAUAUUAGAAGGAACACCGAUAGCGUAGGCAGGUUACUGGGACGGUUCUGACACUAAGGCACGAAAGCGUAGGGAGCAAACGGGAUUAGAUACCCCUGUAGUC